GAUGCNCUGCUANAUGCAGUCGAACGGUUUUACCUAAGAAGUUUUCNAAUGGACUAGGUAAAAUAGUGGCGAACGGGUGAGUAACGCGUGGGUAAUCUACCCUUGAAACCGGGACAACAGUUGGAAACGACUGCUAAUACCGGAUACGCUCGGAGAGUGGNAUCACUUUCCGAGGAAAUGGAGGCCUCUAUUUAUAAGCUCCCGAUCAAGGAUGAACCCGCGUCUGAUUAGCUAGUUGGUGGGGUAAUGGCCUACCAAGGCGACGAUCAGUAGCCGGCCUGAGAGGGUGGCCGGCCACACUGGGACUGAGACACGGCCCAGACUCCUACGGGAGGCAGCAGUGGGGAAUCUUCNGUCAAUGGGCGCAAGCCUGACCGANCAACGCCGCGUGAGUGAAGAAGGCCUUCNGGUCGUAAAGCUCUGUCUUUAGGGAAGAACAUCAGUANUGCAAAUAGUGCUAUUGACUGACGGUACCUGAGGAGGAAGCUCCGGCUAACUACGUGCCAGCCAGCCNCGGUAAUACNUAGGGAGCAAGCGUUGUCCGGAAUUACUGGGCGUAAAGGGCGCGUAGGCGGGAAUUUAAGUUAGGUGUGAAAACGCAGGGCUCAACCUUGCGACUGCACUUAAAACUGGAUUUCUUGAGGGCAGGAGAGGAAAGUGGAAUUCCUAGUGUAGCGGUGAAAUGCGUAGAUAUUAGGAGGAACNCNGUGGCGAAGGCNACUUUCCUGGACUGUNCCUGACNCUGAGGCNCGAAAGCCUGNGNAGCGNACAGGAUUAGAUACCCUG
rnacentral:rRNA from 1 species